rnacentral:rRNA from 1 species
GACGAACGCUGGCGGCGUGCUUAACACAUGCAAGUCGAACGGAAAGGCCCUGCUUUUGUGGGGUGCUCGAGUGGCGAACGGGUGAGUAACACGUGAGUAACCUGCCCUUGACUUUGGGAUAACUUCAGGAAACUGGGGCUAAUACCGGAUAGGAGCUCCUGCUGCAUGGUGGGGGUUGGAAAGUUUCGGCGGUUGGGGAUGGACUCGCGGCUUAUCAGCUUGUUGGUGGGGUAGUGGCUUACCAAGGCUUUGACGGGUAGCCGGCCUGAGAGGGUGACCGGCCACAUUGGGACUGAGAUACGGCCCAGACUCCUACGGGAGACAGCAGUGGGGAAUAUUGCACAAUGGGCGGAAGCCUGAUGCAGCAACGCCGCGUGCGGGAUGACGGCCUUCGGGUUGUAAACCGCUUUGGCCUGUGACGAAGCGUGAGUGACGGUAAUGGGUAAAGAAGCACCGGCUAACUACGUG